UACGUAGGGGGCAAGCGUUGUCCGGAAUUAUUGGGCGUAAAGAGCGCGUAGGCGGUGCCGUAAGUCGGGUGUGAAAUCCCUCGGCCUAACCGAGGAACUGCGCCCGAUACUGCGGUGCUUGAGGACCAGAGGGGUGCAUGGAAUUUCCGGUGGAGCGGUGAAAUGCGUUGAUAUCGGAAGGAACUCCGGCGGCGAAAGCGAUGCACUGGCUGGUUUCUGACGCUGAGGUGCGAAAGCCAGGGGAGCAAACGGG
rnacentral:rRNA from 1 species